rnacentral:rRNA from 1 species
UUGACCUCAAAUCAGGUAGGACUACCCGCUGAACUUAAGCAUAUCAAUAAGCGGAGGAAAAGAAACCAACAGGGAUUGCCUCAGUAGCGGCGAGUGAAGCGGCAAAAGCUCAAAUUUGAAAUCUGGCGUCUUUGGCGUCCGAGUUGUAAUUUGAAGAAGGUAUCUUUGGGCCCGGCUCUUGUCUAUGUUCCUUGGAACAGGACGUCACAGAGGGUGAGAAUCCCGUGCGAUGAGAU